rnacentral:rRNA from 1 species
GGGGAUAAGGCCAGCACGUGCCUACACAUGCAAAUCGAAUGAAAGAAUUAAUUAUUGUUUUCAUGGUGAACGGGUGAGUAACACAUAAGAAUCAGCUUUUAGAUAAGGCAUAAAAGAGUAAUAUCUUGGUAAUUCCUUAUAUGCGCAGCAGUGCUUAAAAAGGGGAGUCCCGUCUAAAAACGAGCUUAUGCCUGAUUAGCUAGUUGGCGAGUUAAAAGCUCACCAAGGCGAAGAUCAGUAGCUGGCCUGAGAGGGCGGCCAGCCACAUUGGGACUGAGACACGGCCCAAACUCCUACGGGAGGCAGCAGUGGGGAAUCUUCUGCAAUGGGCGCAAGCCUGACAGAGCGGCGUCGUGUGAAGGAAGAAGGCCUGAAAUAGGUUGUAAACUUCUUUUACUGAAUAAUGAAUAAUGACAACGCAGUAAAAAAGUAUCGGCUAACUCCGUGCCAGCAGCCGCGGUAAUACGGGGGAUGCAAGCGUUAUCCGGAAUCACUGGGCGUAAAGCGUCUGUAGGUGGUUUAGUGUGUUCUUAGUUAAAUUCUGAAGCCUAACUUCAUGAAAAGUAAGAAAACUAUUAGACUUGAGUACGAUAGGGGUAAGAGGAAUUCUUCGAGAAGUAGUGAAAUGCGAAGAUACGAAGGAGAAGAUCAUAAGCGAAGGCUUCUUACUGGGUCGUAACUGACACUGAGAGACGAAAGCUAGGGGAGCGAAUGGGAUUAGAUACCCCAGUAGUCCUAGCUGUAAACGAUGGAUAUUCGGUGCCGGAAAUUUUAUUAGAACAUUUCGGUACCCUAGCUAACGCGUUAAAUAUCCCGCCUGAGGAGUACGCUCGCAAGGGUGAACUCAAAUGAAUUGACGGAAGGGC